UGCACACAGACACCAAUAACACAAAAUGCAUUGUUUUGGGUGACAUCGCAAGAAUCCACAUCAUAAAUGUGACCGAAUAUGAUAGAAAUUAAGAACGUUAAAUCUGUCCAUGUUCACCACUUAACACUUGUGGGUUGGGCAAACGCUGACAAACAAAUAACUUUAAAGUUCGUUCCUUACGCACAUGUUUCAAGGGAGAAAAUGUGAAACGGUAUCUUCUAAAUAAAUCCUCGUCAUGUAGUCAAUAUUAAAGAUAGGCGAGGAAUCAAAAUGGAGGAAUUCCUUGGAUAUGCAUAGUGUGACAGGAGGAUGAGGAACGCCCCGUGCACCCAGCGCCGUGGACUGAGCGAGACACGUAUGGAAACGGUACGAGAGCCGACCGCUGUUCCCCGCUCACACACAAGUCGCGGGGUCUCGUUUGACAGAGAUGGACCGUUAUGCAACCACAAUGAUCCCGGUUCAGCGGCAUAUGUUGUCCCCCGUUAAGACGCCGCGAUCACCCCCUUUAAAACACCAUCAGCUAACGUGUGGCGGAAAACAUUUGGUUGCGCUCAGACAUGUGAAAGGUCACAGACGAGCUUACUUCACGGCAUCUGAUCUGAUAACUAACUUAGCUUUAAAGCUAACAGCCGAAAGCUAACGUUGACUAAAGCGGCUCAAACACAGAGAGAUAUUUAGUGAUGUGUCGUAACAACUUAAAUGAUAUUCAACAACGGACAUGAAUGAUAAACAGGGCUCGGGCGCCAGUGCCGCGGUGACAGCGUGACCGCGGGGAGGAAGGAAGGAGUCGAAGGAGACGACCUUAAAAGGACGACAUUCCCCCUGGUGGCAGAGACAGGCGCUGCACCCUGGCGUCCAGAACAAUCCUUGUGUUAUAUGUUUUGUGUAUAUAUACACAUAUAUAAAUAUUUUUGUUAUACAGUAAA